GCCGCUUUAGCUCAGUCGGUAGAGCGUUUCACUCGUAAUGAAAAGGUCAGGGGUUCGAUUCCCCUAAGCGGCU
rnacentral:tRNA from 2 species